rnacentral:rRNA from 1 species
GACGAACGCUGGCGGCGUGCUUAACACAUGCAAGUCGAACGGUGACGAGGAGCUUGCUCCUCCGAUCAGUGGCGAACGGGUGAGUAACACGUGAGUAACCUGCCCAGACUCUGGAAUAACAGUUGGAAACAGCUGCUAAUACCGGAUACGAGACGGAGAGGCAUCUCUACCGUCUGGAAAGUUUUUCGGUCUGGGAUGGACUCGCGGCCUAUCAGCUUGUUGGUGAGGUAAUGGCUCACCAAGGCGACGACGGGUAGCCGGCCUGAGAGGGCGACCGGCCACACUGGGACUGAGACACGGCCCAGACUCCUACGGGAGGCAGCAGUGGGGAAUAUUGCACAAUGGGCGAAAGCCUGAUGCAGCAACGCCGCGUGAGGGAUGACGGCCUCGGUUGGUUAAA